GAGCUGUGUGCCUGGCAUGUGAGACAGGGGAAGGGGGGGGCACUCACCUGUCCCCUUCUUCCAUGAGGCAGGGACCCCCCAGCCCCUAUAGUGGCACAAUGCCGUCGGCGAGCCCUUCUGCGCAUUCACACAGUUU